CUGUUUCUCUGCAUACAGAUCUUACACUGCAGGGAGUCACAGACUGUGCCCUGCUGACAAGGCAGAAGAGCUCAGAAGGCUAAAUGAGAUGCAUGCAUAUGUGAGACAGAGGGAGAGAGAUGAAGGAGGUGUGUGAAGAAGAGAAAAUGAAAUGAAGUGAACGAGCAUUAAGUCUCUGGGAGUUCUUUAUGGGGACUGGGCAGCAACCGUGGGAGAUUUAAGGAGUCAAGACACAGAGGAGGUCAGAGUCAGCAUUGCGAAAGGAGAGACUGGGUAUGGUAGAGGGGACCUCGAAUGCCACAUGGGCUGGAUGGGCAUCCCGGCCAAAAGAGGGGAUGGUUCCUUACCCGGACGGAAGGCUCCUGACAGGCAGAUAGGCAUCCCAGCCGGGGUGGAGAAAGGGAUCAGACCUGGAAGGAAGGACCAGAAGGGAUGGACGGACAGCCCACUGAAAAGAGAAGAUGUUGCUGGUGGUUUUUCACUCCCCCAGCAUGCUAGAUGGCAGCUGCCCUGGAUAUCAGUGCCCAGUGGGAAGCCAGCACGGCAUGCCGAGGAUGUAGUCUGGCAGAGCAGUCAAGCUGAGGUCACUGGGUGCUGCAAGAGGGUGCUACAGGGAGACAAGCUCUCUGUUAUAAUGGACUUUCACAUGUCCAUUCCAUCGCGCAUUCGC